rnacentral:tRNA from 1 species
GCUGGGAUAGCCUAGCCUGGUAGGGCGCAGGUCUGGAAAACCUGUUCUCUCACGAGAUCGGGAGUUCAAAUCUCCCUCCCAGCGCUA